UAAAGAAGCAUUGAUCCAUCUUACACACAAUCAUACUCCCCAUAAAUUAAAUACACAAGAAUCACCAAUCUUUUCAUCUUCAUCUUCUUCUUCCAUGGUCUCCAAAUCCUCCUCUCUCACCACUCCCUUAUAAAUACACAAUCACCACUCUUUUCAUAUCAUCUUCUUCUUUCGUCUCCAACCCUUCUCAAUCUUAGAUAUGACUUCAUCAAUACUUUUCAUUGUUGCGUUUUUGUUCUUGAUGAAACCCUCAUGUUCCUCCCCCUAAUAGCAUUUUAAUUUUAGCCGGCCAAAGCAACAUGGGUGAUCCUGGUGGAGUUAAUUAUCCACUCUUCUGUGCCAACAUUUGUGUUUGGGAUAAACAUAUUCCUCCAGGAUCGAUACCCCAACCCUCCACUCUUCGAUUUGCUUUAAACUACACCUGGGAGCAAGGUCGGGAGCCCCUUCAUUGGGACAUUGACCCUACCAAGACCAACGGUGUCGGUCCAGGAAUGGCUUUUGCAGAUCAUCUCCUUGCAAAAGCUAGCGAAAAUGUUGGCACAGAAAAGUGGACAAUUAACUCUAGAAUGAUCGGAUAUAUUUUUGGCUCAAUCUGCUUAAAUUCCAAAUGGAGUUUCUUCAUUCUUCUUAGAAUGAUCAUAUAUAUUUAGGUUCUUUCUCUAGACUUUUGUUGUUUUAUUCCAUUUUUUUCAUCUUUAUUUACAUUGUUUUCUACAUCUUUAACUGGGUUAGCUAGAUUGUUCUCGUAUAAGUGAAUGGAUUAAAGGGACUGGUAGGUAUACAAGCUUGAUCCGACGGAUCAAUGCUUCUUUGGAGUCUGGUGGCCGCCUACAAGGGUUUGUAUGGUUUCAAGGAGAAUCUGAUGCUGCAUUAGAGGUAGAAUCACAAGUCUACCACCAAAAUUUGAUAAACUUUUUUAAGGAUCUUCGUGACGACCUGAACCAACCGACUUUGCCCAUCCUACUGGUGAAGAUAGCUAACCACGAUCUCAACAUUAGCCCAUUUAUAAGUUAUGUAGAGGACGUAAGAAAGGCGGAAGAGGCAGUCGAUCAUGAGUUGCUUGACGUAACAACUGUGGAUGCUAAAAAAGCAGUCCAACAUGUUCUGAAUCUCGGCCAAGAACCUUAUAAUCACGAUGGACAUCUCAGUGUACACACUGAGGUAAAAAUAGGAAUAAUGCUGGCCAAGGCUUAUAUAAAAUUUAGUUUGAAGUAGUAGAUAAGCCUCAACAUUGUUGGAUCGAGCUCUUCACCUUGAACGAAAAUAUAACCCAUUAUGGUUUCUAGCUUGCUUCAAUUAACUCUGAGUUAUGUUUAUCCUAUUUCUUUGUAAUAUUUCUUCGUUGAUCAGUAUUAAUAAAUAUUAAUAUUCUCACUAGCCUC